GUAGGGAAUAUUGGACAAUGGGGGCAACCCUGAUCCAGCGACGCCGCGUGAGUGAUGAAGGCCUUCGGGUCGUAAAGCUCUGUUGCAGGGGAAGAACACAAUGACGGUACCCUGCUAGAAAGGAUCGGCUAACUUCGUGCCAGCAGCCGCGGUAAGACGAGGGAUCCUAGCGUUGUUCGGAAUUAUUGGGCGUAAAGCGGGUGCAGGUGGCUUGGUAAGUCAGAUGUGAAAGCCUGGGGCUUAACCCCAGAAGUGCAUUUGAUACUGCUGAGCGUGAGUGCUGGAGAGGCUAUUAGAAUUCCUGGUGUAGUGGUGAAAUACGUAGAUAUCAGGAGGAAUACCGGAGGCGAAGGCGGAUAGCUGGCCAGACACUGACACUGAGGUGCGAAAGCGUGGGGAGCAAACAGGAUUAGAAACCCCUGUAGUCC
rnacentral:rRNA from 1 species